GAAAGCGCGACUUCAAUACGUACACUAGUGACCUAUUUAUAGCGCAUUGAAUGCACGGGUUCUCACCUGUGAAAACCGCUCGUUUGGAGGAAGGCUGGAAAUAGCCGAAAUCGAGGCCACUGCGAGGUGACGUCAGGGGUAUGGCCUACACUGUCUGCGACUGAGUUGGUAGGGAGAUUCACGAGUCGGACUAUGGUCUGGACGACGUAGAUGAUGAAAGAAAUGAGGCGAGCACGGCAAGCGUCCGAAGCUUGACACAGUCGGUACUCCCUUACAAAUUUGAACUCUUUCAGUCAGACUCUGAAGACGAGGGAGAUGGCGGUGGCACUGGUGUCACUUCCAGUUUACAAGUUCUAUAUUUACUUCCUUAGUGAAAGGUGGUGUUUGUUAUAUCACCAUGCACUCAGGAUUUGAUCAGGGCUGUCUAAAUCCCUAUACAUUGGAAAUCGCAUACUUUCAGCACAGGAAAUAGUAAUUCAAGAAAUAUCUUCAAAUAUAUUAUUGCCAAGUGGUGUGGCGGUGCAGAUUUCUUUGGGGGAAAAGAAGGCAGGGUCCCCCUACCUGCUUGUGC